CGUAGGUGGCAAGCGUUGUCCGGAUUUAUUGGGUUUAAAGGGUGCGUAGGCGGUCUUGUAAGUCAGUGGUGAAAUACGGCAGCUUAACUGUCGAGGUGCCAUUGAUACUGCAGGACUUGAGUACAGACGAGGUAGGCGGAAUUGACGGUGUAGCGGUGAAAUGCUUAGAUAUCGUCAAGAACACCGAUAGCGAAGGCAGCUUACUAGACUGUAACUGACGCUGAUGCACGAAAGUGUGGGGAUCAAACAGGAUUAGAUACCCUGGUAGUCCACACUGUAAACGAUGAUUACUCGAUGUUGGCGAUACACAGUCAGCGUCUUAGCGAAAGCGAUAAGUAAUCCACCUGGGGAGUACGCCGGCAACGGUG
rnacentral:rRNA from 1 species